GCCAGACAUGGUGGCGCAUGCCUGUAAUCCCAGCAGCUCAGGAGGCUGAGGCAGAAGGAUCUCAAGUUCAAGGCCAGCCUCAGCCACUU
rnacentral:sRNA from 1 species